rnacentral:rRNA from 1 species
UACGUAGGGUGCAAGCGUUGCCCGGAUUCAUUGGGCGUAAAGGGUGCGUAGGCGGCGCGGUAAGUCGGGUGUGAAAUCUCGGAGCUUAACUCCGAAACUGCAUUCGAUACUACCGUGCUUGAGGACUGGAGAGGAGACUGGAAUUUACGGUGUAGCGGUGAAAUGCGUAGAUAUCGUAAGGAAGACCAGUGGCGAAGGCGGGUCUCUGGACAGUUCCUGACGCUGAGGCACGAAGGUCAGGGGAGCAAACGGG